rnacentral:rRNA from 1 species
UGGGGAAUUUUGGACAAUGGGGGAAACCCUGAUCCAGCCAUCCCGCGUGUGCGAUGAAGGCCUUCGGGUUGUAAAGCACUUUUGGCAGGAAAGAAACGUCGCGGGUUAAUACCCCGCGAAACUGACGGUACCUGCAGAAUAAGCACCGGCUAACUACGUGCCAGCAGCCGCGGUAAUACGUAGGGUGCAAGCGUUAAUCGGAAUUACUGGGCGUAAAGCGUGCGCAGGCGGUUCGGAAAGAAAGAUGUGAAAUCCCAGAGCUUAACUUUGGAACUGCAUUUUUUAACUACCGGGCUAGAGUGUGUCAGAGGGAGGUGGAAUUCCGCGUGUAGCAGUGAAAUGCGUAGAUAUGCGGAGGAACACCGAUGGCGAAGGCAGCCUCCUGGGAUAACACUGACGCUCAUGCACGAAAGCGUGGGGAGCAAACAGGAUUAGAUACCCUGGUAGUCCACGCCCUAAACGAUGUCAACUAGCUGUUGGGGCCUUCGGGCCUUGGUAGCGCAGCUAACGCGUGAAGUUGACCGCCU